UGAGAAGUGGUUUAAUGAAAAAUAAGGGAUUUUGAUUUCCUUGAUGUAAGUUCGUUUCUUACCUUUUCAG
rnacentral:tRNA from 1 species